AUGAAAAGCCUGAGUGAAGCCUCCUAUUCGUUGAGCAAUGUCCUUGGAGAGGAAAGAAAAUGGAAGUCUUUAUUUAUCAUAGCAAAAGCCAGAAGUGUCCUGGGGUUUCAGACACAGUUGUUUUUGUUUGAGAGAGUAGGUAUUUCCUCAAGCAAAUACAUACACUGUGCAACUCGGAGAAAGGAUUUUUGUUGUAUAAACUUCAGUGGAAUUAUGAGACUGGACUGUGCUUUCUCAAUGGGGACCUAAGAAGCAAAUGCCAUGUUAUUUUGUAACUGUGUUAAAUGACCAAUUCUUUAUUUUGGAUUUGGAUUUUCAAUUUAUUCUGAAGUAGAGAUUAUGUCAAACUGGCCAAAGAUGGGUUAAGAGAGGACAUGGCUUUCUAUAAAGAAUUUAUUUAUUUUUUGUUUGGAGAAGAAUUUGAAAAUAGAGACCCAAUCAGGGGAAAAUGAGAGUGGGAAGAUGAAGGCAGCUGCUUGGGGCACCAGGAGAAAUAUCAUGAGAAAAAAAUCUGUUAGAAUGGUAAUAUGUAUUUAAAAGCUCUAAUAGGUUUUCUUAAAGUAUAGCAUUGGCAUAAGAAUCCACAGAGAGAUUAAAGAAACAGCUUGGAGACAGAUGCUAAUUUAUCUGGGGAGUUUGAAAAGCCUCAGAAGGGGUGGCUGCAUGAUGUGCUGAGGAGGCUGAAUUCUAAGCCCAAGAAUGUCCAUCCGCAACCCCUGAAGACCCCUACAUCCCAACUGUGGGAUGACAGCAGGGAGAGCCUGCAGCUUAGGUCAGUGGACCAGUGUGGACCGGUGGCUGACUAUCAGAGGAGUCUCCCCAGUGAGCUGGCUCAUGUAUGGCCUCAGGAGCUUUGCAUAACCUUCAAGUUAGGGAAAAAGAAAUCAUCAUGGUACUCUCAAAUGGUAGAGCCAUUGUAACAACCAAGACUGAAUUUCCCAUUAGCUUAGUGAGACAGGUGCUUAAAGUUUGAUAUAAAUUGAUGUAACUUAAUGUUCUUAAUAUUAAGUAUGACGCAUUGGAGCCAUCUGGGCUAGCUGGGCCUAUGGCCCUGGAGAAAUUUCUCAGAGAGCUUCUGUCUGACUGCUCCACCACAGUGUUUCAGCUCACAGUUUAUAUAUGGACUAUGGAGGUUUAGUAUGUAGAAGAUCACAUCAGACUUGCUCAGAAGUUAUAUCAAAGCAGAAUGUUCAGGUAUAAGAGCAUCUGGUUAUAAAUUUUUUUUUUUUUUUUUUUUUGAGACAGAGUU
rnacentral:lncRNA from 13 species